UACGUAGGGUGCAGGCGUUAAUCGGAAUUACUGGGCGUAAAGCGUGCGCAGGCGGCUCCUUAAGUCAGAUGUGAAAGCCCCGGGCUUAACCUGGGAACUGCGUUUGAAACUGGGGAGCUAGAGUGUGGAAGAGGGGGGUGGAAUUCCAGGUGUAGCAGUGAAAUGCGUAGAGAUCUGGAGGAACACCGAUGGCGAAGGCAGCCCCCUGGGCUAACACUGACGCUCAUGCACGAAAGCGUGGGGAGCAAACAGG
rnacentral:ncRNA from 3 species